GAGUCUGAUAGCAUUUAAAGGUCGAGACAACAUAAGCAUACUUACUUCAGCAGUUUGUAGUUUUCAUAGGCUUGAAUCCUCUCAGGGAAAUUAACAGAGUUCCUAUUUUUUGUGUGAUAAAGUUAAUUAAUCGAUAAUGUGCAACUUAUUUUGUUGUCAAGAGGAAACGACGACAGUGGACCGAGUUGAGUGGACUGCUAAUUCCAGCAAUGAGCAAGAUAAAUGCUGACUUCAUGGAGACGAUGUUUGCACUCAUGGGCGAUACAAUUAGGAGUAUUAGGAAGACGGUGAAGAAAGAGACUGACCGGAUGAGCUUCAAAAACACUAAACGGUUAUCGAUGACAGAAUCACUUUACACUUGAUGACCCUCCUUUUUCUGAGAUGGAGGACCAAGGAUUUCACCUGCUAAUGGUGCAUUUAUAUCCUGAAUCGCUGCUACCUUUCAGACAUAUCCCUGCCUGUCCUGUAUGAUGUGAUCGCUACACACAUUCAUGUUUUACCUCAGUCAUAUGGACUUCUGAUGUUAGUCCAGUGAGUGUGCUUAGUUUGGCUGGAUGAAGACUCCGACAUGAACACAACAUUUUGACAUGCACAGGAGGGAUUCAGUUUACAAUUAGAAAAAGACUGUUGAAGAGUCAGAACUGUUCUUUGUUUUUGUUUUUGUGUUAAUAGUGAUUUCAGUUAGAUUUGGUGAGGAUAUAAUAUUAAUAAAUAUGUAUCUUUGCUUUCUUAA